GGGCCUAUAGCUCAAUUGGUUAGUGCUGACCGCUCAUAACGAUUGCAGGUUCGAGUCCUGCCGGUUCACCA
rnacentral:tRNA from 1 species